rnacentral:snoRNA from 13 species
UUGCUGUGAUAACUAUCUUAGGACACCUUUGGAAUCACCAUGAAAGGAAAACUAUUCUGAGCAAC